CAAAGAAACAAGUAAAUAAUUUCCCAAAGUAAAGAUUACUAACAUUUGGUGAAUAGAAUCCACAAAUACAAAUAGAAAGCUAGACAAUGAGGAACGGUUUCACAGAGAGAUAUCAUAUGGUACAUGCUACUUUUUAAAACAAAAUUUUUAUUUUUGAAUAAUUUUAGGUUUAUGGAAAGGUUGCAAAGAUAACACAGAGUGUUCUAUACCCUUCAACUGACUUCCUCUAUUGCUAACGUCUUACAUUACUAUGGUACAUUCAUUACAACUAAGAAACCAAUACUGGUACAUUACUAUUAACUAAAUUCCAGACUCUUUUUAAAUUUCACCAGUUUUUCUACUAAUGUCCUCUUUCUGUCCCAAGAUCCACAUUGCAUUUAGUUGUCAGGUAUUCUCUUAGGGCUCUCCAAAGAGACAGAACCAAUAGGAUAAAUGGGUAUAUGCAUAGAGAGAGAGACACAGGAGUUAAUUCUAAACCUAAGAGUCAUGUGACUAUUAGGCAUACCAUUUUAGAAGAAAUUGGAAAUAGAGUUACAACCAGAGCAGCACAAGUAGUUAAGAAAGCUCAGAACACCAAAGUACCAGUUCAGCCCAGGGAAACAACAAAUGUCAACGAACAACUGAAACCUACUGCUUCUGUGAAACAGUACAGAUGGAAAUGUUGGUUCCAAACGGUCCUUCUCCCGUACCUGAGGAUGCCUCCAUGAAAGAAGAGAACAUCUGCCAAGCUUUUUCUGAUGCCUUGGUCUGCAAAAUUGAGGAUAUUGAUAAUGAAGAUUGGAAUAACCCUCAGCUCUGCAGUGACUACGUUAAGGAUAUCUAUCAGUACCUCAGGCAGCUGGAGAUUUUGCAGUUCAUAAAUCCACAUUUCUUAGAUGGAUGAGAUAUAAAUGGACAUAAGCGUACCAUCCUGGUAGACUGGCUGGUGCAAAUCCCCUCCAAGUUUAGGCUUCUUCAGGAGACUCUGUAUGUGUGUGUUGCCACGAUGGAUUGAUUUUUACUGGUUCAGCCAGUUUCCCAUAGGAAGCUUCAACUAGUUUGGAUUACUGCUCUGUUCUUGGCUUCCAAGUAUGAGGAGAUGUUUUCUCCAAAUAUUGAAGGCUUUGUUUACAUCACAGACAAUGCUUAUACUAUUUCCCAAAUCCAAGAAAUGGAAACUAAUUUUGAAAGAACCGAAAUUUCAGUUGGGUGGACCCUUGCCACUUCUUAAGGCAAGCAUCACAAGCCGGAAAGGCUGAUGUUGAACAGAACACUUUAGCCAAAUAUUUGAUGGAGCUGACUCUCAUUGACUACGAUAUGAUGCAUUAUCAUCCUUCUAAGGCAGCAGCAGCUGCUUCCUGCUUGUCUCAGAAGGUUCUGGGCCAAGGAAAAUGGAACUUAAAGCAGCAGUGUUAUACAGGAUACACAGAGAAUGAAGGAUUGGAAGUCAUGCAGCACAUGGCCAAAAAUGUGCUGCAAGUAAAUGAAAACUUAACUAAAUUCAUCGCCAUCAGGAAUAAGUAUGCAAACAGCAAAUUCCUGAAGAUCAGCACAAUCUCUCAACUGAACUCAAAAACCAUCAAAGACCUUGCCUCCCCUCUGAUGGGAGGGUCCUAGGCUGCAGUGGCCCCUGGGGAUGUGUGCUUUAUUUGUGCACUUUUUCUUACUGGUUUAGAACUCUUCAUUUUAUACAUAGUUCUCUGGGCUAUUUCAUGAAACCUCUUCUCAGAUCAAUUUUCUAAACGUAUAUUGAGGAAAAAUAAAGCUACUGGUUUUUCUUAAGGUAAAAAAAAAAAAAGAAGAAGAAGAAAACAGAAUAUACCCAUUUAUCCUACUAGAGAGAUCCUAAAAGAGAUUUAUUAUAAGGAAUUGGCUCAUGCAAUUAUGGAGGCCGAGAAAUCCCAAGAUCUGCAGUUGGCAGGCUGGAGACCCAGGGAAGUUGACAUGUAUUUCCAAUCUCAAAUUUAGCAGGCCGGAGACUAAAAAAACAGCCAAUGUUUCAGUUUCAAGUCCAAAAGCCAGAAAGGAACUGGUGUCCCAUCUCAAAGCAGUCAGGCGGGAGGAGUUCCCCCUUAGUGAGUCUUUUUGUUUUAUUCAUGUUGUCUUCAAAGGAUAGGAUGAGGCCCACCCAUAUUAUGGAAGGCAGUUUGCUUUACUCAGUCUACCUAUUCAAAUAUUAACCUCAUCAAGAAACAUUGUCACAGACACAGAAGAUUAAUGUUUAACCAAAUGUCUGGGUACCCCAUGGCCUAGCUAAACUGACAAAAAAUUAACCAUCCCAAGUCUACAUGCUAUUUUCAAUCUGUUAUGUUAAUAUAAUAUCUGAUUUGCCAGAUCAUGCCGUGUCACCCUCUGCUUUAAAUGUGCAAGCAGAUAGCUCUCUAGAUGCCCUAUACUUCUGUCUCUACCAGUUCAGCUGGAAGCUUUCCAAGAGUCAAUUUGGGUGUUUGAACUCAAACUUUUUUUAAUUAUAUAAUUUAAAUAAAUGUUAAGAAAACUGACAAAAUAUAAAUGCAAAAAGAACACAUUUUUGUUUCCAUAAAACCUAGGUUGAGUAUGUUAGAAAAACUGGAUAUAGAGUGAUUAAAAAUUUGCUUUCAGGGUGGGUGCAGUGACUCAUGCCUGUAAUCCCAGCAUUUUGGGAGGCCAAGGCAGGAGGACUGCUUGAGCCCAGA